CUCUCGCUCUCAUUGGUCACGUGAUUCGGAACGUGCUCGAGAUUCUGCUUGACGACACUUCUGCUUCAAAAGAUCGACGCUGAGUCGAGUGGGAGGUCUCGAGUUGAACAUCUCUACCCUGACCUUGCCGCCUGCCUCAUCUGUGAUACUGCCUUGCCAUGUCAAGUGUUUAUGGUCCCUAACAACAAGGAGGCAGAACUGAACCUACUGUAGGUUUAAGGCUCAGAGUGGAUGAUUAUGAUUAUGUACUGUUCAUUGUGGUAAAGAGGGACAUCUCAUCAGAGCCGGCCCAGACAAAGUUGGGGACAACUCCCACUCUGCUGCAGGAGGCAGUGCAGGCACCCAUAGCAGAGAGGAUCAACAUGGAGGACAGGCUGACGGACAGAAGGCAGUGAGGCUGGUGGUGGAGAAACUCAGUAGAAAGUGGACAUGGCACUGAGGUUGGGACAGACAACCAGCAAGCUGAAGAGGCCCACGUGGAGACGAUAAACAAAGGGAAGUUGCAUACAGAUGUGUGAUGAUGAUUUGGAUGUAAACAGUGCUGCAGCUGAACAGGCACAGGGGUGGAGGGAGGUGAAAAAUAACUCUGUAUGAAAAGAAAAGAAAAGAAAAGCUGCUCUAGACAGCUCAGUUUGUCACCAGCAUGCUGUGACAGUGUUUUCUUCUUUUUUUCUUGUUUUUUGAAAAUGAUCAUAUUUUUUUCAUUUUAACCUGCGCUGUUGGUGUAAUAUUUAAACUAUCUUGUGUCACUAAUUUGUUUAAAACUGGCUAUUAAAGUCUAGUGUAAAAUCUU